CGACGGAGGGGGCUAGCGUUGUUCGGAUUUACUGGGCGUAAAGGGCGCGUAGGCGGAUUAGUAAGUUGGGAGUGAAAGCCCGGGGCUCAACCUCGGAACUGCUUUCAAAACUGCUAGUCUAGAGUGAAGUAGGGGGUGAUGGAAUUCCUAGUGUAGAGGUGAAAUUCUUAGAUAUUAGGAGGAACACCGGUGGCGAAGGCGGUCACCUGGACUUCAACUGACGCUGAGGCGCGAAAGCGUGGGGAGCAAACAGGAUUAGAAACCCCAGUAGUCC
rnacentral:rRNA from 1 species